rfam:Nicotiana attenuata strain TT chromosome 7, whole genome shotgun sequence.
UGGGCGUGAUCAGUAUUCGACUGUAUUCAAGGAGUGAAACAGGGGAUUACAACUGUUUUUAAAUGGAAAGUGAAUCAAUUAACAUAAUAGACUCCU